UUGGCUUAGUUGGGUAAGGCGCCGGUCCAGCAAAUACGGAGUCGUGGGUUCGAAUCCCACA
rnacentral:tRNA from 1 species